rnacentral:rRNA from 1 species
GAUGAACGCUAGCGGGAGGCUUAACACAUGCAAGUCGAGGGGCAGCAUAGGGUAGCAAUACUCUGAUGGCGACCGGCAAACGGGUGAGUAACGCGUAUGCAACCUACCCUGUACAGGGGGAUAACCCGGAGAAAUUCGGACUAAUAUCCCGUAAUAAUAUCCGGAGGCAUCUUUGGAUAUUUAAAGUUUCGACGGUACGGGAUGGGCAUGCGUAACAUUAGCUGGUUGGUAAGGUAACGGCUUACCAAGGCUAUGAUGUUUAGGGGUCCUGAGAGGGUGGUCCCCCACACUGGUACUGAGACACGGACCAGACUCCUACGGGAGGCAGCAGUGAGGAAUAUUGGUCAAUGGGCGCAAGCCUGAACCAGCCAUCCCGCGUGCAGGAAGACGGCCCUAUGGGUUGUAAACUGCUUUUCCAGGGAGAGAAACUUACGCACGUGUUGCGUGACUGACGGUACCCUGGGAAUAAGCAUCGGCUAACUCCGUGCCAGCAGCCGCGGUAAACACGAGAAUA